CCGGGAGGUGUCGUGUGAUCGUGACGCUCGCGUUGCCUCGCAGUGUCCACAACAGCACUCAGGUAUCGUUUCGUUUCGUCGUCGUGGAGUUAAGACCAACAAAAUUGUGAUAAUAUCGUCGGUUGUCGGAAAAAUCCGAAGAAAUAUUUCGUGGCGGUUUUACAUCGUUUUCCCGACACCACCGAGGUAUACGGCUAAUUUAAACCGCUAUCAGUGUAAAAAAUAGUUUCAACAAAUUCUCAGAUUUGUUUACCUGCAUUUCUCCUAUCUCUUUUUCGUUGGUCGGCCCGUUGUCCGAUUGAGUCCGUUGAUCCGCGAUACUCAAAGGUGCGCUGAUUUUUAAACCGGUAAGUAUAAUACAACGAGACGUAUCAAUAAUUAUAUUAUU